UCCUAGGUGGCUCAGUGGCAAAGAAUCUGCCUGCCAAGCAGAAGAUGUGGGUUCCAUUCCUGGGUUGGGAA
rfam:Ovis aries breed Texel chromosome 11, whole genome shotgun sequence.